ensembl:lncRNA
AGGGGGUACUGGUACAGAGUCAAUGUGGAGGCUAUAUACAUGGUGUUAUGGUACAGAGUCAAUGUGGAGGCUAUAUACAGGGGGUACCGGUACAGAGUCAAUGUGGAGGCUAUAUACAUGGUGUUACGGUACAGAGUCAAUGUGGAGGCUAUAUACAUGGUGUUACGGUACAGAGUCAAUGUGGAGGCUAUAUACAGGGGGCACUGGUACAGAGUCAAUGUGGAGGCUAUAUACAUGGUGUUAUGGUACAGAGUCAAUGUGGAGGCUAUAUACAGGG